UACGGGGGGAGCAAGCGUUGUUCGGAUUUACUGGGCGUAAAGGGCGCGUAGGCGGCGUGACAAGUCACUUGUGAAAUCUCCGGGCUUAACCCGGAGCGGCCAAGUGAUACUGUCGUGCUAGAGUGCGGAAGGGGCUACUGGAAUUCUCGGUGUAGCGGUGAAAUGCGUAGAUAUCGAGAGGAACACCCGCGGCGAAGGCGGGUAGCUGGGCCGACACUGACGCUGAGGCGCGAAAGCCAGGGGAGCGAACGGG
rnacentral:rRNA from 1 species